UUAGCCACUGAAAAAUAAGAGAAGAAAGGGGAGCUAAGGAAAACAGGGGAAGGCUUCGGCUAAAACAGAGAAAAAGGAGAGGAGGUCAUCGGCUGAACGGAAAAAGGGAGGAGGUUUUGGAGAAAGGAAAAAGAAAACAGAGCAAAAAGAGAGAGAGAGAGCCAGAGAGUAGACGGAAGAAAAAUUGAAAAAAGAGGGGAGGAAAAAGGGAAGAGGUUCGACAAGAAAACAGAGCAAAGGAAAACCAAGAAUCGAAGGAAUCAGCAAGGAGUUGCUGUUGCCGCUGCUGCCACCAGAAUCCACCACCACCACCCGCAAAUCCUCACCGCAAAAGCUUGGUAAGGUUCCCUCUCUCCAUUCCUCUCUUUAAUUUUGCUAGCGGAUGGGUGAAAAUGAGAGGUAUUGACCUGAUUUUCUCUUCCUUUCUUCUUUUUAGUAAAACUUUUAUCCUUUUCUGACGUCUAUGUAUUCAUGUGGGGCUAUUAUUUCUGUUGUGUGUGAGAAAUUUGAUUGGGAUGCUGUAAAUUUUGGAGCUGAUUAACUUCAAAUUGAGCAAAGGAUUGGCGAAAUUCUUUAUAACCCUGACCUGUUCGAUGAAAUGCCCAGUUGAGAGUUCUACUUGAAGAUGAUUUUGCCUGCGUUUUGCGUGUGAGAAAAAGGAACAUUCGGCUAGUUCAGUGUUUGUCCGAACAUGAUAGCUAAUUUUUUAUGGUAGAAAACAGAGUCUUGAGAGGCUCUGACGUGCUGGUUUUUUGCACUUUUUCUGUUUUUAUGCUGCCCUAUGUUUGAGUCCGAAUUGAUGUUAUGAGAGGGGGGUGUUGUGAGUUUCAUUGUCAGUUGGGAAUGGUUAGAAUUGAAACCAGAUUUCUGGUAUUGCUCUGAUCGCAAGGAAAGCUGAAAUGCUAACUGAUGUUAGCUCGUUGGAGAAGGCAAUUACUUGUCUAAAAUUGCAUUUUCAGUCCCUCCAUUUUCAUUUUAUUUUGUAAUUUAGCCCCAAAUCUUUUAGAACUUCAUAAUUCGACCCCAAAACCUUCAUAAUUCAUUCAAUUAGGUCGCUAUUUUUGUUGCAUUUGAACCCCCAACCUUCGCCUUAUUCUGAUAUGACUCAAAAAAUUGGAAAAAGUUAAAGUUAUUUCGUCCUUUCCGACUUUAAUCAUCUUUUCAUUUUUAAGUAGUCUUUUGGGGUAGAUUAAUUCUUGGUUUUAGGUUAUAAUUGUGGCUUAAUAAUUUUAGUUGAUUUUUCCAUGUUGGGUUUUAGUGAAAUAGGUGAUUUGGGUUGAGAGGUCAUUUUGCUUGGGUUUAAGGGAAUGGGUUUAGUUUAUUAUUUUUGGUUUUGGUUUGGGCUAGAGGAUAGAAGCCCACCGGUUUUAUUGGCUAAUCUUCGGGUCAUAAAUGAUAGAUUGGCCCAUUUCGUUGGUUCUGAGUUUGCGUUGGGCUGGGGAGUUUUCGGUCCAAACAAAUAAGGAAAUGGCCCAAAUGACCUGUUAGGUGAAGAAGUCUGGUGACGAAUUUCCAUUCCAGCCCCCUAACUUUUGAGUAUUUUCUCUAUGGCCCUAAAAAUUUUUAACUUCUUUCAAUUAGGUCCCUAAUUUAAUUGCAAAUAGGCCAAAACUUUAAUGGUGGCCCCGAAUCUUUGAUGGUUUUUAAUGGGCCAAAACUUUUGAGUGCUUUAAGGGGCCUCUUUUGGUCUUUGAUGGUGGCCCCGAAUCUUUGAGAUAAUUAUAAUUCGACCCCUAAAACUUUAUUAAUUUGUGCAAUUAAGUCCCUGCUUGUUUUAAUUUCUUAAAUGUAGGUUGUUUACAUGAUUUAAUUGAUUCAAUUUCAUGUUUAUUUUCAUUUUUUAUAAGUGUUUGUUAAUUAAAGUGAUGCCUUGACCUUUUUUAUUUUUUUUUUGGAGGGUAAAUAAGAAAAUUUUCACUUUCUUAGGUCACCAAUUCAAGGGAGGUAUACUCUAUCCUUUAUUUUUUAUUUCAUCAUAUUUGAUCUUAUGUGCCCUUAUGUGACUUUUAUGUGUAAUUGCAUGUCCUUUUAUGGGCUUUUUAUGUUUUAUUUCAUUUAUUUAUUGUUUUGAUUAUAUAUAUAUUUUUAAAUUUAAUUUGUAAUUAUUUGGAAGGCAAUUAAAUGCAAAAAUUGUAAUAGUUAGGUUAUUAUUUUACUUCAUUCUUUAUUCCCUUUAGAUUGUAGCUAGGGCCUUCAAAUGUAAUAGUUAGGGUUUUAUUUGCUUUGUGUGUUUUGCAUGCUUAUGUGUUUACGUGUUACUCGCUUUUUUAGCAUCUUGCAUCUAGAUAUCAUGCUUAUGUGCUAUAUGUAAUUUAUGUGUUUAUUUGCUUUAUUAUGUUUUACAUGAUUUAUUUGAUUGUAAUAAAUGCAUGACGUCACCACACUAGUCUCACGCUAGUCGUGGCUCCCUUUUUCUGAUAUCACACUAGUCCAAUGCCAAUUGUGGCUCCGUUUCUGAUUCCACACUAGUCCAACGCUAGUUGUUGCUCCUUUUUCCGAGUUCUCACUAGUUCAAUGCUAGUGAGAACUUAUAGACAUGGGUUAGUCCAACGUUAGACCCUUAGGAACCAUCCUUGCGUUAGAUCACAUUUGUGUGACAAUCAAUACAUUUCAUGUAUAUUUUUUUACUUUUUAGGAUCCUUAUCACUUUUGCAUGAUAUUUUCGCUGUAUAUAUAUAUCUCUCAUCCCCAUGUGAGACAUAACAUUAGACUUGCAUUUCAUUUAAGGAAAGUUAGGAGUAGAUUAGUGCAUUUGCUUGAUUAAAUUAGGGACAUUACCCCUCGAAUAUGGGAUAUGGACGAGUGUGAUUUUUUAGGCUUAACAUUCUCUCUGUUAAAGGAAAAAUUAAAGUCACGAGUAUGAGUUUCCUGCCCCCAUUAUGGUGCAUUUUCUUAGGUCAUUUGUGGAUUAUUAUUGUUUUUUCUUUCUUUUCUUCGAGUCUCAUCUUUUUCAAAUUUCAUGACCUUUUCAAAAAAUCACUUUUGGACACCGCAAUUAGUGCGAUUAGUGCCAAUCGAGUUUUGAAGAAACAUAUUUAUUCUUUCGAUAACCAUUAGGUCUAGAUUUGCAUCCAUAUAUCCAAAUGUGAUAAAUUCUUAGAUUAAAAUAAGAAAAUUUUUUGAUUAAAUCACGCAACUGGCCUUGGUUAGGUGGAAAGGGUGCCUUGAAUUAUUAUUCUUGCCUUCCCUUUCUUCAAAUGUGACUCCCGAUCCUUUUUUUGUGAUUUUUGAAGACUGAGAGUCGUUUAAAAAGGGGUCUGCUCUACUUUUUCUUUAAAAAAAAAUUCAUUUUAAGUGACUUGAUACACUUUAACCCAAUAUCAAGUAGUGAUUCCUAUUUUUAUUAAAAAUCCUUUUUAAACUAUUUUUUGGUCAAAAUCGUCGCACUUUCAAGUACCAUUUAGGCCAAUUUUCUUUAUUUAUUUUCUAAGAAAUCAAAAACUUCCUUUUCACUCAAAAUAAAUCAAAAACCCAUUUUUCACACAAAAUAAAUCCAAAAUUCAUUUUUAUAAACUCAUUAUUUUUUUCAUUUAAAAAAAUGGGGCGUGACACCCGUCUCAUCCACUGGAUAAUGGCGGAUGGUGGUUGCGGCACCGUCUUGUGCAGCGGUAGUCAUGGGGAACGCCCUUUCCAUUGAUUCAGCUAGGGAUUUUGGUUCAGUUUCAAUGUUUCGGGGGGAGCCCGCCCUUCACAUUUCUCACUAGGAGAUAUCACUGUUAGCUGCUCCCUUUCGUAACACGCUGAUUGGCAGAUUCGGUCAUCACAGGCCUUCUACGGACAUGAUGCGGAAAUUCUUUGUUUCACUGGGUUUGAAAGGAGAAUGCUUGAUGAUAGCCAUAUCCUAAUUUAGCUAACGCUGGAGGAAGACUAUGCGAGGUUAUUCGCCCAUUCGUUCGUGGUUUGUUCAUAAUAUCCCAAUGUUGAUUUCAUACAUUGACUAUUUUUGAUGGGUAAGAUGAGACAAUUUUUUCCACCAAAUCACCACUGCACUUAAAGCUUGAAAGGCUUUUUCCACGGAUCUCUAGUAAGUUCAAUUCAUCAAAUGUCCGACUUGCCCACGUGAAAAUAGCAAGUGUAAGAGCACGUGAAAAUAGUAUUGGCAGAGAGUUGAGUUUGGUGUCCAAAAAAAAAUCUAAAAUAAAUUCAAUGGACUUGGAAAUAAUUAGUUCAUAAGCUUUCCGAAAUCAACCAGUGAUACUACUGCCCAACAAUUUCACUGAUUUCAUUUCUUCAUUGGCUUUUGAAAACAAUACCACCAUUAAGAAUUAACCUUUUCCUAUUGCCCUGGAUUAAAAACCAAAGUGGAGACAGCGGGCAUAAUUAACCCACUAUUUCUCUCAGCUAUAGCCUCACCCACACCUAUUAUAAUUCUCUUCCACUCCCUCUAUUACCAUCCAAUUAGCGUCACUUUUACCCCAACUAGCCCCAAGCAAUUCCAACCAGCGACAACAUAAAAAGAUAUAUGCACCCGCACAUAAAAAGAUAUAUGCACCUACUGAUGAUUGUCACCGUGAAUAACAUAUGUAUAAAAAUAACUUCAACAAUUGCAACCAUGAAUCAAAUAGCAACACAAGAAGAAAAUGAGUAAAGCCAUGACUCAAACAGCCAACCAAAAAAAUUUGCCAGAGAAUAUUUUGAGAAAAAAAAUUAGGGGAAAAUAAUUGGAGCAAAAAUUAGGGAAUGGCCGCAAGCCAUGAGAUACCCUACCUGAGAGUUGGUGGAGAGCACAUCAAUCCCUUUCAGCAUUGAACGCACAAUUGGUCUAAAGUUUUGAAGAGUUUGAACGCACAAUUGGUGGAGAGUUUUCUUUCUUCUUUGGAGAGUGUAAAUAGCAAGUGUAAGAAGGUGAAGAGUAAUAUUGAAGACGUCUAGUACUAGUCAAAUAUAAGACCAUCCAACUCAAAAUAAGUUCCCACUUUGUAAUUACAAGUACUGCGCCA
rnacentral:lncRNA from 1 species